rnacentral:rRNA from 1 species
AUGAACGCUAGCUACAGGCUUAACACAUGCAAGUCGAGGGGCAUCAGGAAGAAAGCUUGCUUUCUUUGCUGGCGACCGGCGCACGGGUGAGUAACACGUAUCCAACCUGCCCUUUACUCGGGGAUAGCCUUUCGAAAGAAAGAUUAAUACCCGAUAGCAUAAUGAUUCCGCAUGGUUUCAUUAUUAAAGGAUUCCGGUAAAGGAUGGGGAUGCGUUCCAUUAGGUUGUUGGUGAGGUAACGGCCCACCAAGCCUUCGAUGGAUAGGGGUUCUGAGAGGAAGGUCCCCCACAUUGGAACUGAGACACGGUCCAAACUCCUACGGGAGGCAGCAGUGAGGAAUAUUGGUCAAUGGGCGCUAGCCUGAACCAGCCAAGUAGCGUGAAGGAUGAAGGCUCUAUGGGUCGUAAACUUCUUUUAUAUAAGAAUAAAGUGCAGUAUGUAUACUGUUUUGUAUGUAUUAUAUGAAUAAGGAUCGGCUAACUCCGUGCCAGCAGCCGCGGUAAUACGGAGGAUCCGAGCGUUAUCCGGAUUUAUUGGGUUUAAAGGGAGCGUAGGUGGACUGGUAAGUCAGUUGUGAAAGUUUGCGGCUCAACCGUAAAAUUGCAGUUGAUACUGUCAGUCUUGAGUACAGUAGAGGUGGGCGGAAUUCGUGGUGUAGCGGUGAAAUGCUUAGAUAUCACGAAGAACUCCGAUUGCGAAGGCAGCUCACUGGACUGCAACUGACACUGAUGCUCGAAAGUGUGGGUAUCAAACAGGAUUAGAUACCCUGGUAGUCCACACAGUAAACGAUGAAUACUCGCUGUUUGCGAUAUACAGUAAGCGGCCAAGCGAAAGCAUUAAGUAUUCCACCUGGGGAGUACGCCGGCAACGGUGAAACUCAAAGGAAUUGACGGGGGCCCGCACAAGCGGAGGAACAUGUGGUUUAAUUCGAUGAUACGCGAGGAACCUUACCCGGGCUUAAAUUGCAGUGGAAUGAUGUGGAAACAUGUCAGUGAGCAAUCACCGCUGUGAAGGUGCUGCAUGGUUGUCGUCAGCUCGUGCCGUGAGGUGUCGGCUUAAGUGCCAUAACGAGCGCAACCCUUAUCUUUAGUUACUAACAGGUUAUGCUGAGGACUCUAGAGAGACUGCCGUCGUAAGAUGUGAGGAAGGUGGGGAUGACGUCAAAUCAGCACGGCCCUUACGUCCGGGGCUACACACGUGUUACAAUGGGGGGUACAGAAGGCAGCUAGCGGGUGACCGUAUGCUAAUCCCAAAAUCCUCUCUCAGUUCGGAUCGAAGUCUGCAACCCGACUUCGUGAAGCUGGAUUCGCUAGUAAUCGCGCAUCAGCCACGGCGCGGUGAAUACGAUCCCGGGCCUUGUACACACCGCCCGUCAAGCCAUGGGAGCCGGGGGUACCUGAAGUACGUAACCGCAAGGAUCGUCCUAGGGUAAAACUGGUGACUGGGGCU